AAUCAGUAUUAUGGUUAGAUUUGAAAUCUAAAUUUAAGUAUUUAAAAUGUGCUUGCUGGUUU
rnacentral:tRNA from 1 species